rnacentral:rRNA from 1 species
AUGGUGGACGACAACGCCAAGUCUGACUCUAGUGGCUCCAAGGAUGAUCAAGAAACCAAGGCCCUCGUGAUCGAGAUCCUGCAGAAGUUUGAGCGCCUUGAGGCCUUGGAGGAGCGUUUGGGUCGCAUCGAGACCGGCCAAAAGCAGAUGAUUCUCCACACGCAAGCACCCGAGAUCCUCCAACAACGCAAAGACGGACCGAUGGGGAACACCCGCUUCCACAAGUUGGAUUUUCCAUCGUUCGACGACACGACAGAUCCUCUGCCCUUCCUCAACAGAUGUGAGCACUACUUCCGUGGACAGCGCACCAUGGAUGAGGAGCAUGUAUGGCUCGCUGCCUUGCACCUUCACGGCACCGCGCAACAGUGGUAUAUGCGCCUUGAGCGCGAUGAGGGCACGCCAUCUUGGCGACGCUUCUCUGAACACUGGACCUCCGGUUUGGACCACCGUUGCGUUCCUAUCCCUUGGGCGAGCUAG